UACAGAGGUCCCGAGCGUUGUUCGGAUUCACUGGGCGUAAAGGGUGCGUAGGUGGCGCGCUAAGUCAGGUGUGAAAUUUCGGAGCUUAACUCCGAAACUGCAUUUGAUACUGGCGUGCUUGAGGACUGGAGAGGAGACUGGAAUUUACGGUGUAGCAGUGAAAUGCGUAGAGAUCGUAAGGAAGACCAGUGGCGAAGGCGGGUCUCUGGACAGUUCCUGACACUGAGGCACGAAGGCCAGGGGAGCAAACGGG
rnacentral:rRNA from 1 species